GAUGAACGCUAGCUACAGGCUUAACACAUGCAAGUCGAGGGACCGGCGCACGGGUGAGUAACACGUAUCCAACCUGCCCUUUACUCGGGGAUAGCCUUUCGAAAGAAAGAUUAAUACCCGAUAUAAAGGAUGGGGAUGCGUUCCAUUAGGUUGUGGGUGAGGUAACGGCCCACCAAGCCUCCGAUGGAUAGGGGUUCUGAGAGGAAGGUCCCCGACAUUGGAACCGCGACCCGGACCAAACGCCGACGGGAGGCAGCAGUGAGGAAUAUUGGUCAAUGGGCGGUGGCCUGAACAAGCCAAGUAGCGUGAAGGAUGAAGGCUUAUGGGUCGUAAACUUCUUUUAUGUAAGAAUCGGUAUUAUAUGAAUAAGGAUCGGCUAACUCCGUGCCAGCAGCCGCGGUAAUAC
rnacentral:rRNA from 1 species